rnacentral:rRNA from 1 species
GUGUCAGCCGCCGCGGUAAUACGGAGGGUGCAAGCGUUGCUCGGAAUUACUGGGCGUAAAGCGCGUGUAGGCGGUUUCGUGUGUCUGAUGUGAAAUCCCCGGGCUCAACCCGGGAAGUGCAUUGGAAACUGCGAGACUAGAGUCCCGGAGAGGAAGGUGGAAUUCCAGGUGUAGCGGUGAAAUGCGUAGAUAUCUGGAAGAACACCGGUGGCGAAGGCGGCCUUCUGGACGGUGACUGACGCUGAGACGCGAAAGCGUGGGGAGCAAACAGGAUUAGAUACCCCCGUAGUCC